UAUUGGGCAAUGGGCGCAAGCCUGACCCAGCAACGCCGCGUGAAGGAAGAAGGCUUUCGGUUUGUAAACUUCUUUUCUCAGGGACGAAGAAAGUGACGGUACCUGAGGAAUAAGCCACGGCUAACUACGUGCCAGCAGCCGCGGUAAUACGUAGGUGGCAAGCGUUAUCCGGAUUUAUUGGGUGUAAAGGGUGCGUAGACGGGACAGCAAGUUAGUUGUGAAAGCCCUCGGCUUAACUAAGGAACUGCAACUAAAACUAUUGUUCUUGAGUGCAGGAGAGGAAAGCGGAAUUCCUAGUGUAGCGGUGAAAUGCGUAGAUAUUAGGAGGAACACCAGUGGCGAAGGCGGCUUUCUGGACUGUAACUGACGUUGAGGCACGAAAGUGUGGGGAGCAAACAGG
rnacentral:rRNA from 1 species